rnacentral:rRNA from 1 species
UUAGGAAUAUUGGACAAUGGGCGCAAGCCUGAUCCAGCCAUGCCGCGUGAACGAUGAAGGCCUUCGGGUUGUAAAGUUCUUUAGCCGACGAAUAUAAUGACUGUAGUCGGAAAAUAAGCCCCGGCUAACUUCGUGCCAGCAGCCGCGGUAAUACGAAGGGGGCGAGCGUUAUUCGGAAUCACUGGGCGUAAAGCGUGCGUAGGCUGUUUUGUAAGUCAGAAGUGAAAGCCCAGGGCUCAACCCUGGAAUUGCUUUUGAAACUACGAGACUUGAAUUCGGGAGAGGAUAGCGGAAUUGUCAGUGUAGCAGUGAAAUGCGUAGAUAUUGACAGGAACACCAGUGGCGAAAGCGGCUAUCUGGACCGACAUUGACGCUGAGGCACGAA